rnacentral:rRNA from 1 species
UCAGGACGAACGCUGGCGGCGUGCUUAACACAUGCAAGUCGAACGAUGAACCGGUUUCGGCCGGGGAUUAGUGGCGAACGGGUGAGUAACACGUGGGCAAUCUGCCCUGCACUCUGGGACAAGCCCUGGAAACGGGGUCUAAUACCGGAUAUGACACGCUCCCGCAUGGGAUGCGUGUGGAAAGCUCCGGCGGUGCAGGAUGAGCCCGCGGCCUAUCAGCUUGUUGGUGGGGUGAUGGCCUACCAAGGCGACGACGGGUAGCCGGCCUGAGAGGGCGACCGGCCACACUGGGACUGAGACACGGCCCAGACUCCUACGGGAGGCAGCAGUGGGGAAUAUUGCACAAUGGGCGAAAGCCUGAUGCAGCGACGCCGCGUGAGGGAUGACGGCCUUCGGGUUGUAAACCUCUUUCAGCAGGGAAGAAGCGAGAGUGACGGUACCUGCAGAAGAAGCGCCGGCUAACUACGUGCCAGCAGCCGCGGUAAUACGUAGGGCGCAAGCGUUGUCCGGAAUUAUUGGGCGUAAAGAGCUCGUAGGCGGCUUGUCGCGUCGGAUGUGAAAGCCCGGAGCUUAACUCCGGGUCUGCAUUCGAUACGGGCAGGCUAGAGUUCGGUAGGGGAGAUCGGAAUUCCUGGUGUAGCGGUGAAAUGCGCAGAUAUCAGGAGGAACACCGGUGGCGAAGGCGGAUCUCUGGGCCGAUACUGAC